rnacentral:rRNA from 1 species
AUUGAACGCUGGCGGCAGGCCUAACACAUGCAAGUCGAGCGGAUGAAGGGAGCUUGCUCCUGGAUUCAGCUGCGGACGGGUGAGUAAUGCCUAGGAAUCUGCCUUGUCGUGGGGGAUAACGUCCGGAAACGGGCGCUAAUACCGCAUACGUCCUGAGGGAGAAAGUGGGGGAUCUUCGGACCUCACGCUAUCAGAUGAGCCUAGGUCGGAUUAGCUAGUUGGUGGGGUAAAGGCCUACCAAGGCGACGAUCCGUAACUGGUCUGAGAGGAUGAUCAGUCACACUGGAACUGAGACACGGUCCAGACUCCUACGGGAGGCAGCAGUGGGGAAUCUUGCACAAUGGGCGAAAGCCUGAUCCAGCCAUGCCGCGUGUGUGAAGAAGGUCUUCGGAUUGUAAAGCACUUUAAGUUGGGAGGAAGGGCAGUAAGUUAAUACCUUGCUGUUUUGACGGUACCAACAGAAUAAGCACCGGCUAACUUCGUG